UACGUAGGGUGCGAGCGUUGUCCGGAAUUACUGGGCGUAAAGGGCUCGUAGGCGGUUUGUCGCGUCGGGAGUGAAAUCCACUGGCUUAACUGGUGGCUUGCUUUCGAUACGGGCAGACUGGAGGUAUGCAGGGGAGAACGGAAUUCCUGGUGUAGCGGUGAAAUGCUCAGAUAUCAGGAGGAACACCGGUGGCGAAGGCGGUUCUCUGGGCAUGUCCUGACGCUGAGGAGCGAAAGUGUGGGGAGCGAACAGG
rnacentral:rRNA from 1 species